rnacentral:rRNA from 1 species
GACGAACGCUGGCGGCGUGCCUAAUACAUGCAAGUAGAACGCACAGUUUAUACCGUAGCUUGCUACACCAUAGACUGUGAGUUGCGAACGGGUGAGUAACGCGUAGGUAACCUGCCUGGUAGCGGGGGAUAACUAUUGGAAACGAUAGCUAAUACCUCAUACUAUUGAUUAUUGCAUGAUAAUUGAUUGAAAGAUGCUAUUGCAUCACUACCAGAUGGACCUGCGUUGUAUUAGCUAGUAGGUGAGGUAACGGCUCACCUAGGCGACGAUACAUAGCCGAACUGAGAGGGUGAUAGGCCACACUGGGACGGAGACACGGCCCAGACGCCUACGGGAGGCAGCAGUAGGGAAUCUUCGGCAAUGGACGAAAGUCUGACCGAGCAACGCCGCGUGAGUGAAGAAGGUUGUCGGAUCGUAAAGCUCGGUUGUAAGAGAAGAACGGGUGUGAGAGUGGAAAGUUCACACUGUGACGGUAUCUUACCAGAAAGGGACGGCUAACUACGUG